rnacentral:ncRNA from 16 species
AGUCGUACCCAAGUGGUUACGGGGGUGGACUAGAAAUCCACUGUGAUCUUCACGCGCAGGUUCGAAUCCUGCCGACUG